rnacentral:rRNA from 1 species
CAGCAGCCGCGGUAAUACAGAGGGUGCGAGCGUUAAUCGGAUUUACUGGGCGUAAAGCGUGCGUAGGCGGCUAAUUGAGUCGGAUGUGAAAUCCCCGAGCUUAACUUGGGAAUUGCAUUCGAUACUGGUUAGCUAGAGUGUGGGAGAGGAUGGUAGAAUUCCAGGUGUAGCGGUGAAAUGCGUAGAGAUCUGGAGGAAUACCGAUGGCGAAGGCAGCCAUCUGGCCUAACACUGACGCUGAGGUACGAAAGCAUGGGGAGCAAACAGGAUUAGAUACCCCUGUAGUCCCUGUCUCUUAUGC